GACGAACGCUGGCGGCGUGCUUAACACAUGCAAGUCGUACGGUAAGGCCCUUUCGGGGGUACACGAGUGGCGAACGGGUGAGUAACACGUGAGUAACCUGCCCACAACUUUGGGAUAACGCUAGGAAACUGGUGCUAAUACUGGAUAUGUGCUCCUGCUGCAUGGUGGGGGUUGGAAAGCUCCGGCGGUUGUGGAUGGACUCGCGGCCUAUCAGCUUGUUGGUGGGGUAGUGGCCUACCAAGGCGGCGACGGGUAGCCGGCCUGAGAGGGUGACCGGCCACAGUGGGACUGAGAUACGGCCCAGACUCCUACGGGAGGCAGCAGUGGGGAAUAUUGCACAAUGGGCGCAAGCCUGAUGCAGCAACGCCGCGUGCGGGAUGACGGCCUUCGGGUUGUAAACCACUUUCAGCAGGGACGAAGCUUUUUGUGACGGUACCUGCAGAAGAAGCACCGGCUAACUACGUG
rnacentral:rRNA from 1 species